AACGAACGCUGGCGGCAUGCCUAACACAUGCAAGUCGAACGAGACCUUCGGGUCUAGUGGCGCACGGGUGCGUAACGCGUGGGAACCUGCCCUUAGGUUCGGAAUAACUCCCCGAGAGGGGUGCUAAUACCGGAUAAUGUCUUCGGACCAAAGAUUUAUCGCCUUUGGAUGGGCCCGCGUUGGAUUAGCUAGUUGGUAGGGUAAAAGCCUACCAAGGCGACGAUCCAUAGCUGGUCUGAGAGGAUGAUCAGCCACACUGGGACUGAGACACGGCCCAGACUCGUACGGGAGGCAGCAGUGGGGAAUAUUAGACGAGGGGCGAAAGCCUGAUCCAGCAACGCCGCGUGAGUGAUGAAGGCCUUAGGGUUGUAAAGCUCUUUUACCCGGGAUGAUAAUGACAGUACCGGGAGAAUAAGCACCGGCUAACUACGUG
rnacentral:rRNA from 1 species